CUGUAGUAUGCCAUUUAUUUUUAAUGUAUUGUUUGAAUAUUUUUAUCAUAUUCUCAAUUCAUAUUUUUGUUUUUUCUUAAUUAGAAAUGUCAUAUUAUUAUUAAAACAUAUAUCUGUAGCAAUAGCAUUGCAGAAAUUAAUUCUGGAAUUGUCUGGCAGAAUUGAUGCUAUAUUACUCUCUUCCUGCUUGGGGAUGACUACUGGUCAGAUAAUUUUAGACCAACUAGUAUAUGGAUACUGCAAAGUCAUGGAUUCUAACAAACACCAAUAAUUAUAAUUAUCCCUAAACCUGAUUUACACGACUCUGCAAAUCCAGACUUCAGCCUGACCUCAGGUCUUUUACUACUUUCUGACUUGAAUAUAAUCAAAACAAAAACAAUCUAAGUUUAACAUCUAACCAGCAAAGUAAGCAACCUGAAACUUACAACUGUAAGUAUCAAACAAGUGUUCGAACUAACCCAACAAAAACAACAUUAGAAACUUAUACUAAUAAAUUG
rnacentral:lncRNA from 1 species